rnacentral:rRNA from 1 species
AGGCCGAAAGGCGUAGUCGAUGGGAAACAGGUUAAUAUUCCUGUACUUGGUGUUACUGCGAAGGGGGGACGGAGAAGGCUAUGUUAGCCGGGCGACGGUUGUCCCGGUUUAAGCAUGUAGGCUGAUUAUCCAGGCAAAUCCGGAUAAUCAAGGCUGAGGUGUGAUGACGAGGCACUACGGUGCUGAAGUAACAAAUGCCCUGCUUCCAGGAAAAGCCUCUAAGCAUCAGGUAACAUCAAAUCGUACCCCAAACCG